rnacentral:rRNA from 1 species
UCAUGACAUAAAUAUUUGACCGGCUACUAAAAAUUUAUAUUUAAAAUCUAAAGAACUUGGCGGUGUCUUAUCAUUCCAGGGGAACCUGUUCCUUAAUUCGAUAAUCCACGAAACCUCUACCACUAAUUGCAUAUCAGUUUGUGUACUGCCGUCAUCAGCAUACCUUAAAAAGUUUAGUAUGCAAUAAUACUUAUAAUAAUUAUGUCAGGUCAUAGUACAGCCUACUUAGUGGGGGAAAUGGGUUACAAUCACAAAAUAGAUACCAGAGGUAAACUAAAGUUUACAACAAAGGUGGACUUGGCAGUAAUGAAUAAUAGAAAAUAUUCAUGAAUAAAGAUCUAAGACAUGCACACAUCGCCCGUCACUCCCCUCGAAAGAGG